GCAGAGCCAGCAACAGUGUCAUAUCAGAUAAUGCAAGCUUCACACAUUCAGUGAUUCCCGAGGUACCAUCCGAGCGCUGGGAUCCAACGUUCAAAUUUACAGGCAUGAAAUUACUAUUAAAUCCUUCACCGACCAGCGGAGCUCGGGGCAGACGGUGUAACGCGUUCUGUGGAAAAGCUACGAAGCCACACGGGCGCGAGGAAUUCAAGGAGAGUCAUACAGGAUUAUUAACAUUAGGCUAUAUUAACUAACUUUGGUGCGAUGAAUUGGCGCAUUGAACACGACUAAGUUUCAAACGUUAUGCCAAACAGUAAAUUAUGGGAUGGCGAGUAUGUGUUCCUGCUUUCUACUUUUCGAAGUCACCUUUGGAGGACCAACUCUCUAACUGUGACAACUGACAUCUCUGAUUGUCACCUGGCAUCAUGACCUGGCAGGGGUCAAAGUGUCAUCCUUUGGCUUUGGUGUUAGGUCUUACGUCAAACCUUAGACUUGAGACGAUGUUGAUUAUAGGAUACAAUUUUGUGUAAUACGUUGUAUUGGUUAUGGAGGAAUAUAUUCAGAAACUGUAUUAUUCUUCAAAUAGAAAUUAAUUGACAUAUGCUGCAAAUAAAGAUACUUUAUUAAGUC